rnacentral:rRNA from 1 species
GAUGAACGCUGGCGGCGUGCCUAACACAUGCAAGUCGAGCGAGAAGCCAUAAAAGGACACUUCGGUAGAAUUAUAUGGCGGAAAGCGGCGGACGGGUGAGUAACGCGUGGGAAACCUGCCUUUCACAGAGGGAUAGCCGAAGGAAACUACGAUUAAUACCUCAUAAAGCAAAAGCUUCGCAUGGAGCGAUUGCCAAAGAAUAAUCGGUGAAAGAUGGUCCCGCGUCUGAUUAGUUAGUUGGUAAGGUAGCGGCUUACCAAGGCGACGAUCAGUAGCCGGCCUGAGAGGGUGAACGGCCACAUUGGAACUGAGACACGGUCCAGACUCCUACGGGAGGCAGCAGUGGGGGAUAUUGCACAAUGGGCGAAAGCCUGAUGUAGCAACGCCGCGUGAAGGAAGAAGGCUUUCGAGUCGUAAACUUCUGUCCAAAGGGAAGAAAAGAUGACGUACCUUGAGAAGCCCCGCA